rnacentral:rRNA from 1 species
GUCCCGCAACGAGCGCCAACCCCUAUUGCCAGUUGCUACCAGGUAAUGCUGGGCACUCUGGUGAGACUGCCCCGGUUAACGGGGAGGAAGGUGGGGACGACGUCAAGUCAUCAUGGCCCUUACGCCUAGGGCUACACACGUACUACAAUGGCGCAUACAAAGGGCAGCGAUACCGCGAGGUGGAGCCAAUCCCAAAAAGUGCGUCCCAGUCCGGAUUGCAGUCUGCAACUCGACUGCAUGAAGUUGGAAUCGCUAGUAAUUCGAGAUCAGCAUGCUCGGGUGAAUGCGUUCCCGGGCCUU